rnacentral:rRNA from 1 species
CCUACGGGAGGCUGCAGUCGAGAAUCAUUCACAAUGGGGGAAACCCUGAUGGUGCGACGCCGCGUGGGGGAAUGAAGGUCUUCGGAUUGUAAACCCCUGUCAUGUGGGAGCAAAUUAAAAAGAAAGUACCACAAGAGGAAGAGACGGCUAACUCUGUGCAAGCAGCCGCGGUAAUACAGAGGUCUCAAGCGUUGUUCGGAAUCACUGGGCGUAAAGCGUGUGUAGGCUGUUUAGUAAGUCGUGUGUGAAAGGCGCGGGCUCAACCCGCGGACGGCAUAUGAUACUGCGAGACUAGAGUACUGGAGGGGCAGCCGGAAUUCUCGGUGUAGCAGUGAAAUGCGUAGAUAUCGAGAGGAACACUCGUGGCGAAGGCGGGUUCCUGGACAUUAACUGACGCUGAGGCACGAAGGCCAGGGGAGCGAAAGGGAUUAGAUACCCUUGUAGUC